GACGAACGCUGGCGGCGUGCCUAAUACAUGCAAGUCGAGCGGAUUGAUGGGAGCUUGCUCCCUGAUAUCAGCGGCGGACGGGUGAGUAACACGUGGGCAACCUGCCUAUAAGACUGGGAUAACUUCGGGAAACCGGAGCUAAUACCGGAUAAUCCCUUUCCUCUCAUGAGGAAAGGCUGAAAGAUGGUUUACGCUAUCACUUAUAGAUGGGCCCGCGGCGCAUUAGCUAGUUGGUGAGGUAACGGCUCACCAAGGAAACGAUGCGUAGCCGACCUGAGAGGGUGAUCGGCCACACUGGAACUGAGACACGGCCCAGACUCAUACGGGAGGCAGGAGUAGGGAAUCUUCCGCAAUGGACGAAAGUCUGACGGAGCAACGCCGCGUGAGUGAUGAAGGUUUUCGGAUCGUAAAACUCUGUUGUUAGGGAAGAACAAGUACGAGAGUAACUGCUCGUACCUUGACGGUACCUAACCAGAAAGCCACGGCUAACUACGUGCCAGCAGCCGCCGUAA
rnacentral:rRNA from 1 species